AGUGACGAAAAAUAACGAUACGGGACUCAUCCGAGGCCCCGUAAUCGGAAUGAGUAUACUCUAAAUCCUUAUACGAGUAUCAAUUGGAGGGCAAGUCUGGUGCCAGCAGCCGCGGUAAUUCCAGCUCCAAUAGCGUAUAUUAAAGUUGUUGCGGUUAAAAAGCUCGUAGUUGGAUCUGUGUCCCGCACCGUCGGUUCACCGCCUGUCGGUGUUCAACUGGCGUGUAUGCGGAACGUCCUGCCGGUGGCGGUCCGGUGCCCCGUGGGUUGUAGGGGUCGUCCUUGCUCUGCUUGCGUCGUCCCCAAAGGCCUUCGUGGUGUCUCCGGCCGCCUUUCGAUCCCGUCGCGGUGCUCUUCACCGAGUGUCGAGGCGGGCCGGCACGUUUACUUUGAACAAAUUAGAGUGCUUUAAGCAGGCCCUGUCCCGCCUGUAUGUUGUGUGCAUGGAAUAAUGGAAUAGGACCUCGGUUCUAUUUUGUUGGUUUUCGGAAUCUGAGGUAAUGAUCAAUGGGGACAGGCGGGGGCAUUCGUAUUGCGACGUUAGAGGUGAAAUUCUUGGAUCGUCGCAAGACGGACCGAAGCGAAAGCAUUUGCCAAGUAUGUUCUCGUCGAUCAAGAACGAAAGUUAGAGGUUCGAAGGCGAUCAGAUACCGCCCUAGUUCUAACCAUAAACUAUGCCUGCCAGCGAUCCGCCGAAGUUCCUCCGAUGACUCGGCGGGCAGCUUCCGGGAAACCAGAGCUUUUGGGUUCCGGGGGAAGUAUGGUUGCAAAGCUGAAACUUAAAGGAAUUGACGGAAGGGCACCACCAGGAGUGGAGCCUGCGGCUUAAUUUGACUCAACACGGGAAAACUCACCAGGCCCGGACACCGGAAGGAUUGACAGAUUGAGAGCUCUUUCUUGAUUCGGUGGGUGGUGGUGCAUGGCCGUUCUUAGUUGGUGGAGCGAUUUGUCUGGUUAAUUCCGAUAACGAACGAGACUCUAGCCUACUAACUAGGCGUACCCGGUAUCCACAAUCGUGCUACCGGCGAUCAUAUUUCUUCUUAGAGGGACAGGCGGCUUCUAGCCGCACGAGACUGAGCAAUAACAGGUCUGUGAUGCCCUUAGAUGUCCUGGGCCGCACGCGCGCUACACUGAAGGAAUCAGCGUGUCUUCCCUGUCCGAAAGGACCGGGUAACCCGCUGAACCUCCUUUGUGCUAGGGAUUGGGUCUUGCAAUUGUUCCCCAUGAACGAGGAAUUCCCAGUAAGCGCGAGUCAUAAGCUCGCGUUGAUUACGUCCCUGCCCUUUGUACACA
rnacentral:rRNA from 1 species